rnacentral:rRNA from 1 species
UACGUAGGGUGCAAGCGUUGUCCGGAAUUACUGGGCGUAAAGAGCUCGUAGGUGGUUUGUCGCGUUGUUCGUGAAAUCUCACGGCUUAACUGUGAGCGUGCGGGCGUUACGGGCAGACUAGAGUACUGCAGGGGAGACUGGAAUUCCUGGUGUAGCGGUGGAAUGCGCAGAUAUCAGGAGGAACACCGGUGGCGAAGGCGGUUCUCUGGGCAUUACCUGACGCUGAGGAGCGAAAGUGUGGGGAGCGAACAGG